AGAUUACUGGGGUGCACCAGGAUAGUUUUAGUUCUUUUUCUGAUAUUUUCUGAUCUCCUUCUCUGCCAGCCCCUAGCCAGUACAACAGUUCUGAAUAUAUCUGUAGUAAAGUCACAUCCCUGAGAGGUGAGCUACUGGACUACCAUUUUGAAGGCAGAACUGCCCAGAGACAGAGAGACCAACCCAGCCUUGUAGAUAGAUGCCCCAGGUGCUUCUCUCCUGUGUUCUAGCUGUAUGGCUCCAAGUCAAUUGAGAACUUUUAAACUUCUCCAGUAAAAUGAAAUCAAAGUAGGCCCUGACUCCUGGUUGUUCUGAGGAACAAAGAAGGUGAGGAAAUACAAAGUAGCCAGACUGUCUGGUCUUUGACUAUCGUUAUGAAAAGGCCCUUCCUUCUGCUUUUGCAGAGCAGAACUUAUCUCUCUCACUCAUCUGGCACAAAGUCCCACAAGUCUCUUCCUCAGGAGAGGUUUAACUGUCUUUCUCCUGACUUAGGUUAUAAAUUUUCUUGAAUGUCAAGACUUUUUUUUUUUAAGCAUACAUGUGUUUUAUUCAGGAUGCUUAGCAGAUCCUGCAAUGCUAGGACAGACAACAGGGUUGAGCAGUGUUACUCACUCUCACCACCUAGAACAUUCUUGUCUUACUCUGAUACUCUGUGGUUUAUUAUUAUUUAUUACUAUUAAUUAUUAUGAUUAAUGUGUGAAUGUGUGCGACAAAGAGAUUGGAGGGAGAAAGGAAGAGGAAGAGGGAGAGGGAGAGGAAGAGGAAGAGGGAGAGGGAGAGGGAGAGAAGUGCAGACAAGGGUGUACCACAGCACACAUGGAAGCCAGAGGAUUUACAGUUAUUUUUCUCCUACCAUUUGUGUUCUGGGAAUCAAACUCUGGUCCUCAAACUUGUAUGGCACAUGCUUUUACCCAAUGAGCUAUCUUAUUGGCCCUAAUGUUCUGUUUAAAGAGGAAAUUUAUUAAAUUAGGGAGUGACUGUGUAAAGAUAUCCAAUUAUCUCUAUAUAAUGAGGAAAAUUCUAGAAUCCAAGUCACAUUGUCAAAGACCUGAUUUUAUUUCAUCCAGAUCAAGAGUUGGCAAACUAUAGCUCCUAAGGCAAGCUCUGUGUUGGGGUUGAUACUGUAUGGUCAGUCAGUGAGUCAAGCAUGUCAUCUAUUUUUUCAAGUGUCAUAAAAUCAUACAAAGUCACAUGCACCGAAAGCCAAGAUCCCCAGAUCCCAAGCCUGAGAUGCUUUUGGUCUUGCCCUUCAUUAGCAAGGUUUGUAAACAAACCUCUUGGAGACUAAUUUCACUCUCACAGUAAGUGCAUUUUUUCUUAAGCACCACAAACAUGUAAAGGAUCAUAAAAAGUUCUGAGGCAAACAUAAAAUAAGGGAUCAUCUGACUCCUUUUCUCUUUUAGGCCUUAGCAUUGCUAUGAUUUACACAAAUCCCUCUAGGACUGGGGCUGACUAGAUAGGUCUUCAGGGAUUUUCAUGAAAACUGAAUUCACCUUGGGACAAUCAAAAUAAUAGGAAUUGGACAAUGAUUAGAAGUUAGAAAAAGGCUAAUUUCACAGUGAUACAGGAAGAGAACUAAAUGCAGUUUGAUUGUUUUUUUAUAGGGUGAGCUCAUUAGUAGGUAAGUGAGCAUUCAAAAAAAAAUCAUAUUAGAGUCACUUCACACCUGUUAUGCACCACGAGUUUGAGUCAUUGCUGGACUAAAACAAAGGGCUUGACAGAAACUUUCCUUAGUUUCAGAGAUAAGGCAGAGUUGUCUGCAUAAACUGGCCUGGUCAUCCACACUGCAUUGAAAUUUCCCCAUUAUAUUCAAGUAACUUCUGUGGAUCCUCAAGAGGCUUACAUUUCUUCCACUUGCCUUUCUUUCAUUUGUCUGGUGUCAUUCAUUCUUGCAUGGCAGCUUAGUGCCAUGGUCACUACUAUCAUUUCUGCAAGUCAGUCAGCCAAGCACCAUUUUCUUCAGUCUCCUGGAGUCCUUCUCUGGCAAACAUGCUCUGCUUGGGCAAUUUUAAAAGCAUGGAGUGAAAUUUCAGGUUAGCCAGAGGAGGCCGUGGCACACCUUGAAAUCUUAGUUAAUACUGUGAUAAUGAAGCUAUUCUAUAAGAAAUCUCCUUUAAAGCUUCCAGCUAUGCAAGAGCUUCACCCUUCUGUGUCUACCUUGGACUCUGGAGUUCUUCUGCCUUAGUCUUUUGACCCACACCAACAUAAGACUCCACUUCCCACUUAGCUACCCUGCCUGCCUUUGAACAUUGAGAAUUUGUCUAACAUUCUGAGAUUUCUCACCCAAAGAACUGUUUACACAUUUUCUUAAGGAAUGGAGCAAACUACCUAGAGAUAACCACUUUUCUAGGAGGCUUGCCUUUAUUUUCCACUCCAGGAAGCAGCAGACUUCCCACUUAAGCCAGGAGGCCUUUUCCUUUGCAUCAUUAGGGAAAUGAUUCAUUCCCUGCCCAUCCCAAGUGUAGGUCCAGGAAAGUACCUUGCCAGGCUUUCCAAUUUGUUUGGAUCCCUACCCUACCCCACCCCAAGAUACAUGCCCAUUCUCCCUGUGGCACAGCCAGGACACUUGAUAACAAAUUUAAAGACACUACGUUUCUAUGUUUUAGCCAACAUAAGAAGAAAAUAUUAUCAUUAGAAAUGUCAAAGCCUCUCCCUAUCAAUAAUAUGUAAAUUUUACCCUGGCUACUAUGAAAAUUUCUUUUAGAGGUGAAUUUGUGUCCUUUUUUCUAUGCCCUCAUAUUUUUUUUUUUAAUUUGCCACAUUACAGGACAUUUAGUCAAAUGAACCGAAGUCAAUGAGAGAAGGAAACACAGGAACUGGAGCCUGGAGCUGGGGAUCACUGGAAGAAAGCUUAGUUCCUCAGGGAGCAUAAACAGUGGAAUCUGUUCCCUCUUUGCUUUUUUUUUUUUUUUCCAGGAUUUUGUCCCUAACUUUAUCUACAACAAUUUUGGCACUCCUUGCUCCGAGUUUUUGGAGACAAAGACCACUCAGGAAAGGAAAGCAGUAAGGGCAACUCAAAUGAACAGGUCCAAGGGGGUGGAGCCAAAGGGAUAAGGGAGAGGUCUAGGCUCUUGCCUGCUUAUCAGCCAGGCAGUACUGCUGAUCAAGAUGAAGAAGUGCAUUUGCAGAGGUUGUGGAGCCUGGUCUAGUCCUUCAAGGGGGAGCACUCCAAUCACUGAAUUACUUGGCAGUUCCAUAACUCUUACUCCUCCUUACCAUGUAGCAGGGAGUAAAGAGUGGAGGCUUUUCCCUUCUGGAAAAAUAUCUGAUAAAAUUAUUUUCCCUUUUCUUUUUCCCUUCUUACAUGCAGCCCCAGGCAGGAUAUUGUUGUGGGAUCAUCAGAUUCAAAGAAUCCAAAGGAAGAAAAGAAAUGUGAGCAGGGGCUGGAGGUAGUGUUGGAGUAAGGGAAAAGAGGCCCUGGGGAGGGAUACCCAGGUAAAAAGGAUUCUUAGUCACCUGAUAGACUUUUAGGUCAGCUGGAGCACGAAAGUGUUGCCUGGUGGUUACUAGCCACAAGUCAGACUCUGGUCACUAAUCUUUCUUGCCCCUGAAAAAGUGGCGCUUGUGGUCGUCUGGUAGGUGUUUACACUAGCUUCUUGUGGGACAGAAGAGACCUAUCUCUUUAGAAUGAGUUUCCAUUCUAUACCAAAUUUCCCAGUAACAACAGCACAGUUGUCUACUGUGGGCAUUUAAAUUACAUAAGUCAUUGGUUUAAUUUAUUCCAGGACAGAAAAUAGUAGUAUUAACAAACAAAAGAAUCCCAACACAAACCCCGGGAAGUUCUUGGAGAAAGUACAGAGCCUUGGUUGGCUUAUAAAGUCUAGAUGGGUUGGGAAUGGCAGCCCCAGCCCUGCCCUUUACCCUAAAGCUGAGACACCGAUAUUUUCACCGAUAUUUCCUCAAGGUUUGCAGAGGUUCGUAUGCUCUUUCCACCCUGCCCCCUUCAGCCCAAGACAAGGUUGACACUGGCGAGCUGAGGAAAUAAGAAAAGACAGCACUCCACCCAGGCUUGGGUCAGUGCUGAGCUAAGGAACCAAAAGAGUAAGUACAGAGCAUCUGAUGAGGACUCCAGGCCAUGGUCACCCACCUGUGCACAGGGUGGCAUCAUUCUGGGCAUUUUAGUCUAAGCAGUUUUACUCCAUCUAAAUGGACAUGUCUGGGGCUGCCAAUCAUGUGAACCCAGAACCUAACUAAACUUCUCCUCAGCCAGCUCUUUUUGGAGUGGACCCAAAGGCGACUGCACAGAAGACUGGAAGCAAAGAGAUCUUGUGGGUAGAUCUAGGUCACUCACUCUACAGAGCCAUGGUGAGUGACCUUUAAGGUAUACAAUGGGGAUUUAGGAGCUCCGAAGGGUUAAAAGCAAAAUGAGUAACUCACAACACUGAAAACCUCUAAGAACACGAGUUGGGAUGAAGAACAACACCCCCCCCCCCCCAAUGCAGUAAAGUUUGCUAUAGACAGAGCGAAUACUAUUUUUUUUGCCAACCUAAGAGGGGAAGCGCUUAAGAAGUAAGAGUAUGCGUGGGCAGCAGGAGGUGUCUUGGCCUGUCCACCAGCUUUAGACUCUGAAAGGAAGCAGAGCAAGAAAAUUCCAAAGAGCAAUGAAUGUGUGUGCAUGGGGAAGACUGGUGAGCAGAAGGACUUGCUCCAACUUUGAGCUCUGCACCUUCAGCCACGCAGAGGAGCUGGCAUCACCGAGCACUGAGCACUACCAGAGUAAGCUCACACCUAGUUCCAGCUAAGGAUUCCCAGGCAUUGGGAAGAUGUCAGCUAUAACAUAAGUUUAAACAAUAGAAUGAAUAAUGUGAGCAAGAAAGAAUCCGUGUUAUAGUUGGAACAACUGAAGAUCAACUGCAGAUCUCCCACUUGCCCAGACUUGUAUUUACAUCCUAAGUUUCACUGGCCCCAGCAGGAAGAUGUCCUACAGCAGGAUUUAAAUAACACAUACAGGGAAGUGCAUGCAAGCCAUUACAGGAAAAAUUGGCAUGUGAGACUUUAUUAGUAAAGGCUGUUUGUGUAUGUCUGUAGAUCCACUGACUUUUCUCAAAAAGAAGUGAAAAAGGAUUUUUGUUGUUAUUAAGAAAAGGUAGAGAAACAAAAUUCAAAGAGGGCAAAUAGUUACUUUUAUUUAAUUUCUUAUGUUUUGCAUUCUGUUUGCCAGUUAGACAACAAAUCUCCCUAUGGAAAUGACCUCAUUUUAUAAUUCUCCUAAUAAAUGAUGCUAGCUGCCUACAUGGUGCCCAGCCCCAGGGCACAGAGCUCAGUGAAAGGAAGACCUAGUAUGGAGGCUGUUGGUAAGCUUGCUGCCUGAAGCUUUGUUCCCUCCCAGUUUCCAUGUCUGGGUGCAACAGUCUACAACUGUGUAAAUGGCUUAGCUCUCCACCGUACUCUACCUCUCCAAACUAAAGUAACCUUUCCCAGACCAUAGCCAACAAGACAAAUUGACAUUCUGAUCAUUUAUGCUGAUACCUCUGUGUAAUUCUUAAAACACAAGCAUAAAGUAUUAGGUCCUUAGGACUCACAUUGCUAUGUGAAGAAAUAUAGACACAGGAAGGCAAAUCAAGUAUCUUUUUCUUAUGAAACUUGAACCUUCAUCCUUAGUCACUUCUUCAUCAAAGGUCACAUUUUUCCUUAAAAACAAAAACAAAAACAGACUUUUAUUUUCUUAAGUGACAUUUUCAAUGGUACAAAGUCCUAGAUUGUCAUAGUUCCAGAACAUCAGUUUCUUCUCUGCUUUCCUAAGAGCCUCUGGUAGCUCUAAGGACAAAAGUCUCCGGGCCUCUCUUACACUUAGUAGAGAAGGUUAUUCAGUGUCACACCUGGCUUCUCUUAAACUUAGGGAAGACCAUUCAGUCUCACAUCUGGUUUCUCUGAAUAGACUCUGGCAACAUUUUAACUGGCUAGCUAGAUGUCUAGAGGAAAUCUGGCUUUAAGCUUCCAGAAGUGAGCUUCCUCUGAUUUUCUUUUAGAGUUAAAAGAGGAAAGUCCAGGGAGACAAUGGCAAGCAACAAACAAGGCCUGAAAAAUACCUAUAAGGAAAAACGAGCUCUCACUCCAGUUGGGUAUCUAGUGGUUUCUCUAGCUAGCAACCCUUGGUGGCUUCUACACCAGUGUCCUGAUAGAAAUUCAUAUUAAACUCAUAUGUGUAAUUGAAAUUCUUUGUUAUCUUUAUUAGUGUGUAUGAAUUAUGCAUUUAUUUGGUUUUACUUUAACAUUGGUUAUGGUUUUAUUAAAACAUGUUCAUACAUGUAUACAAUGUAUUUUUAUCAUAUUCAUCUCAUUAUCUUCUUUUGUCCCAUUCCUACUUCUGUUGACCUCCCUCUUCUGAUCUAAUUCCUCUUCUAUCUUCAUGUCUGUUAAAUUAAACUUAAUUUAUUUUCCAUUGACUUUCAUUAGGAUUCCUUAUAGGAUAAGUAAGAGGUUGUUGACAGGAACAUGAACAAUUUACCAGUACACAACUGAAGUAAAUGUUUCUCUUAAUUUAAAAAUUUCUAUUAGUCAUAUUUAAAAAAAAAGAAAAAAGAACAAAGCUAAUUAGUUUAAGCCAUGUAUUUUAUAUAAUGCAAUGCAUUCAAAUAUUUCUUCUAACAUGUGUUGAAUAUAAAAAUAUUUAAGAAUUUUAGAUUUUCCCCUUCAUGCUAUGCAUACUUUAUAUACUUUUAACCAGAUAUGAUAUAUUCUUUUUAAAAUUACAUGUGUGUGUUCCUAUGCACAUGUUUGUGUGUACACAAAGUCAGAUGAGUAUAUCUGAUGCCUCCUAGCUGGAGUUACAGGCAUUUGCAAGACACCGGGCUUGUUCUGUAGGUGCUGGGAUCUGAACUUGGGUCCUCAUGAUUGUGCAACAAGCAUUCUUAACCCUAAGCCACUUCUGCAGUUCAGAUACUCAAUUCUAAAUGGAAAAUGAUUAAAGCAUUUGAUUUUAUAAAUUUACAGUGAAAAAAAAUCACACAUGCACAUGCUCUCUCUCUCUCUCUCUCUCUCUCUCUCUCUCACACACACACACAUGCACACACACAGGCACAUGUACACACAUAAUCUCCCAAACAUACUUAAAAUUCUCUGUUAACUGAAAUUAUUCUUUAAUAUUUCCACUCAGAUCUGGUCUUUCUUCCUCCACAAUUCAUGAGUUUUUGAAGGACUGGAUCUCAUGUAGACCAGGUUGACCUCAAGCUUGUUAUGUAGCAGAGUACGGCCUUGAACUCCUAGUCUUUCUCCCUCAACCUCCUGAAGGCUGGGAUUGCAAGUGUGUGCCAUCACACCUGGCUCUGUCAUUUUACUAGUAAUCUCUUUGAGAAAGAAAAAGCUACUAGUUUCAAAACUAUGUCUAACCAAGUUAAGUAAAUUAGUUAACUCUGAACUUAAAACUUGAAUUGAUUGAUUGAUUGACUGAUUGAUUCUAGGAAAUCCACUUGUUCUCAGUUGGCAAUCUCUUCACAUUUUCCUACAGUUACUUUUUAAUGCAACUUACAUAAUGCUAUCAACUACAAUUGAAAUGUUGUCAUGUAAACAACAACUAAAAUGACAGAGUGAUUUAAUCGAUUGUCUUAUAAAAAGUCUGCGUCUCAAUCAAAAGUCUCAAAUUUAAUUAGCUAGAUUGAAGGUAAGCUUUCAAUUCCGUAAGGUUUCAAAUUUGGCUCUUUCAGGUAUAGUCUGACAUCACAAAUGAAAAUAUAAAUCAUACUGCCUUUUGGGGUCUUUAUCUUAUUUUGAAAUAUUCAACAAACUUCUCUUUAUAAGAAAAUCUUGUAUUUAAGUAAAUAGGCAGUAAAUCCUUAUAAAGCUCUUUCAUGACUCAAUACAAGAACAUUAGCAAAGAAGUCAAGAAGCUAUUAAAUUCAUUGUCUUCUACUUCUUUCAAAUGACUCAUUGCUUUUGCAUGUAUACAAUGAAUGAUUUAACAACAGUAUUCAGGGCACACUUCAUGGAGUGCUUCGACAAAGAGCAUAAAUAUUUUUAAAAUGUAUCAUAGAGUGGAACAAAGAAGUAAAGGAAACAUUAGUCUGCCUUUGAAAAUUCCAAUAAAUCUGAUUUUGACUAACCUUAGUGGGAAAAGUAUUUGCUUAAUGUUUAGUAUCUCUCUAAACUUCUUUGACAGAUGUAGAAUGUUUAAAAUAAUUGUGGAAUGAGUUUGAUAGUGAAUAAGCAACAUUUUUUGGUAAAUUAACCAUUCUUUGGAUUGAAGCACAUUUAAAGUACUUAUAGGACAGCAUAUUUUUUAUCUUCUGAUUUAUCUAAAUUUAAAACAAAAACACAAAACAAAACAGAAAACCGAAGCUCACAUUGGGGAAAAAGAUAAAAGAAAGUUGGAGUUUUUAAUCAACAGAUCUUACAUUCUUUCUUCUUGAGUAGGCAUGUACAGACGUGUGUGUCUGCACGCAUGUACCUACACAUAUGUGCACAUGCAUGUAAACGCUAAAGGAACUCAGAAGUUAUUCCUCAGGUGCUAUCUAUAUCUUAAAGUUUCCUUUAGCAUAUUUCCAUCUAAGAAUGUAUAUGUAUCUUUUAUGUACAUGUGUAAAGCAAAGCACUUUAACAUCUGGCCAAUGACACAAGCUUGGUUCUUGUUAAAACUCUUACAUUUUUAAAUUAACAAAAAGGUUCUUGGGGAUGGAGAACACUUAAAGGACCCACAUUUAGUUCCCAGAAUCCACAUGGUGGAACAUAACCAUCUGUAACUACAGUUCCAGGGGCUCUGAUGUUUCCUUCUGACUUCUGUAGGCAUUGGAUAUAAACAUGGUACACAUACAUGAAUCAGGCAAAACAUACACAUAAAAUAUUUUAAAAAUUAAGUUUUUAUAUUUUCCUUAAAUAUACAAUUUUACUGAGAGGAGCUGAAAGUUUCUCUUAAUGAAAUCCACACAAUAAUUAUCUGUCUCAUUUAUUCUACUUCCAGCAAAUUACAGCAGCUAUCCAUUGUAGAAUUUGCAGCAUAUCACUGAUCUUUUCUUUCAUUUUUACUUCUGUGAACACGGAGUAUGCAUAUAUGGAGGAGAGAAGAAACCUGGCUGCUGUUUCACAGGUGCCCCCUUCUUGUUUAGUAAGACACCCUGGGUCUCUGCAGGGACAGUAGGAGAUAAUCAGGGACUCAGGAACCUACCUGACUCUACUACUCCAGAGCUGAAAUUGCAAGUGUUUAAUAUUCUAUCAUGUCUGGUUUUUCCUUUACUUACUUUUAAUAUGGGUUUGGGGGCUUAAAUUCAGAUCUCCUUGCCUAUAAGUAUAAGACAAGCAUUUUACCAAACAAGCUAUCACAGGAUUAUUAGCUGUACCUAUGCAAUUCUUCAUCAGUUGUGUAUUUUGGUUUCAGACUUAAAACUUCCCAUGUUUACAUUUAACUUAAAAAUCAUUGUGUUAUGAUUAAAAUAAUGUUUUUCAUUAUUAUUAUUACCAGUUAUAGAUGUCACUGCAGCUUGUAAUAUCUGACUAAAAUAUCAAGGAUACAAUAUAAUGUUAUACAGUUAAAAAAAACCAUCAAAUAUUUUAAGUCAAUCAGUAUGUAGACACAAACUAAAUAAGUGGUCUAUAUGUAACACUAAAAAUAGCACACCCCCCACAACACACACACACACACACACACACACACACACACACACACACACACAUCCUGAGUACACCGAAAACCAUACAUAACAAAUAUUAAGCAACAUACAUGUCCUGCCAAAACAUUUUGCACGGUUUCAGUGUUUACUAGCUUUCUUGUUGUCACUGAAACAAGCGCUCACUUUACAGUCUCAAACUGGUCUUCACCUCUCCCCCUUUCUCCCCCUUCAGCAUCCCAAGUGCUGGAAUUGCACUGUGUGCCCUCAUUCUCAGUUA